AUUGAACGCUGGCGGCAGGCUUAACACAUGCAAGUCGAGCGGAGAUGAGGUGCUUGCACCUUAUCUUAGCGGCGGACGGGUGAGUAAUGCUUAGGAAUCUGCCUAUUAGUGGGGGACAACAUUCCGAAAGGAAUGCUAAUACAGCAUACGUCCUACGGGAGAAAGCAGGGGAUCUUCGGACCUGGCGCUAAUAGAUGAGCCUAAGUCGGAGUAGCUAGUUGGUGGGGUAAAGGCCUACCAAGGCGACGAUCUGUAGCGGGUCUGAGAGGAUGAUCCGCCACACUGGGACUGAGACACGGCCCAGACUCCUACGGGAGGCAGCAGUGGGGAAUAUUGGACAAUGGGGGGAACCCUGAUCCAGCCAUGCCGCGUGUGUGAAGAAGGCCUUAUGGUUGUAAAGCACUUUAAGCGAGGAGGAGGCUACUGAGACUAAUACUCUUGGAUAGUGGACGUUACUCGCAGAAUAAGCACCGGCUAACUCAGUGCCAGCCGCCGCGGUAACAC
rnacentral:rRNA from 1 species